UACGAAGGGGGCUAGCGUUGCUCGGAAUCACUGGGCGUAAAGCGCACGUAGGCGGCUUUCUAAGUCAGGGGUGAAAUCCUGGAGCUCAACUCCAGAACUGCCUUUGAUACUGGAGAGCUUGAGUCCGGGAGAGGUGAGUGGAACUCCGAGUGUAGAGGUGAAAUUCGUAGAUAUUCGGAAGAACACCAGUGGCGAAGGCGACUCGCUGGACAGGUAUUGACGCUGAGGUGCGAAAGCGUGGGGAGCAAACAGG
rnacentral:rRNA from 1 species